rnacentral:snoRNA from 1 species
GUGCUUUAGGGAUGAAUAAGUCCCUCAUACGAAUAUCCAUCUAAAUCACUUUGUCAGUUGCCUUUUUGGUGGCGCACUGAUCAUUGUAAGAUGGAAAAUGG